rnacentral:rRNA from 1 species
AUUGAACGCUGGCGGCAGGCCUAACACAUGCAAGUCGAGCGAGCGCCGGACGGUUUAGUAAUGUAUGGGGACUGCCCGAUAGAGCGGGAUAACUACUGGAAACGGUGGCUAAUACCCCAUACUGUCGGAUAACCCAUAGGGGAUUAGCUAGUAGGUAAGGUAAUGGCUUACCUAGGCGACGAUCCCUAGCUGGUCUGAGAGGAUGAUCAGCCACACGGGGACUGAGCAACGGCCCAGACUCCUACGGAGGCAGCAGUGGGGAAUAUUGCACAAUGGGCGCAAGCCUGAUGCAGCCAUGCCGCGUGUAUGAAGAAGGCCCUAGGGUUGUAAAGUACUUUCAGUCGGGAGGCGUUACCGACAGAAGAAGCACCGGCUAACUCCGUGCCAGCAGCCGCGGUAAUUG